rnacentral:lncRNA from 8 species
AUGCGAGGUCAACUUAACCGUGCUAAUCUGAACCCAUCUGUGCUGCUGCUACCAUAUGAUGAGGGGUCAGAUGGGGAUGGAAGGCCCCACUUUAAAAGGAGGGAUGGAGUCACUCUCCAGUUGUGGACAGGGCCCCCAGGUGUUUAUUUUUGUAUGGCCACACACACACACACACACACUAGUGGUGCGCGGGUCACCUGCACCAGCCGGCAAUUGCUAACCCAUCCGCCCAACUUUACGUGACAAGUGAAAAUCUGAGGCCUGUAGACUACAGUGGGGUGCAGGAUUUAGAUAUGUUUCUGCUUAUAAUUUCCAACAUUUUGGUAGGCCAUGUUAGUCAGCUUGUCUAUAAUUAGAUACAUGUAGUUUCUCUUCUGUCAUUACACAGUAUGUUGCCAUAGAAUACUAAAUAAACCAUUGCUUACCAGAAUAUCAUACAUCGAUAGAGUGAAUGCUUCAAUCUAGUUGACGUCGGUAAAGUUCUCUGUCAUCUCUGAUUCUUUCACAGAGCAAAACCUUUUGAGACCGGGGAGAAAAUGAAAAUGUCCAAAUGACAUCAGUUUGACCGAUUGUAAGGAAACAGAAAGCUGUGAAAACAACCUAACAUGUUUCUGAUAAGAUUUCAGUUCCUUUUGGAUUUUAUGUGGUUGAAAUACUAUCAGCUUUUAUGAUGCUGAUAAAGAUAGCAUUUUUACAGACGGUAUCUAACAGCGCAUUUGCAUUCUCUCAAGAUGCUGAAUGAAAGAAAUCAUAUUUCUCCACUCCUGUUCCCAAGUCAAAAUGUAGCCUACAUUUGGUAUAUUAUUUUACUGCAAGAAAUGCCUUAUUCUGCAGGAAUUAAUAUUAAAGUCUAUGUGAGAAGUUAUAGACCAACAGUCAGUGUGCAGAUUUCAGUUUCCAUUUAUCCCAUCUGAACAGUACGCUACAACUCCCUUGACGUGCCAUAGGUCUAUUUGAAGUCCCUGUCUUGUGCCUGUUGAAUUUGUAUAGCGCCUCACAAUCAUCACAUACCCAAAUCGUUCCCAGACAUUACUUUUCUGCCCCCUGCUUCCCAUUAUUUUCAACUCUCCAUUUCACAGCUUCAAUGUAGCAUGCAUAUAUAUACUGCUCAAAAAAAUAAAGGGAACACUUAAACAACACAUCCUAGAUCUGAAUGAAAGAAAUAAGCUUAUUAAAUACUUUUUUCUUUACAUAGUUGAAUGUGCUGACAACAAAAUCACACAAAAAUAAUGAAUGGAAAUCCAAUUUAUCAACCCAUGGAAGUCUGGAUUUGGAGUCACACUCAAAAUUAAAGUGGAAAACCACACUACAGGCUGAUCCAACUUUGAUGUAGUGUCCUUAAAACAAGUCAAAAUGAGGCUCAGUAGUAUGUGUGGCCUCCACGUGCCUGUAUGACCUCCCUACAACGCCUGGGCAUGCUCCUGAUGAGGUGGCGGAUGGUCUCCUGAGGGAUCUCCUCCCAGACCUGGACUAAAGCAUCCGCCAACUCCUGGACAGUCUGUGGUGCAACGUGGCGUUGGUGGAUGGAGCGAGACAUGAUGUCCCAGAUGUGCUCAAUUGGAUUCAGGUCUGGGGAACGGGCGGGCCGAUCCAUAGCAUCAAUGCCUUCCUCUUGCAGGAACUGCUGACACACUCCAGCCACAUGAGGUCUAGCAUUGUCUUGCAUUAGGAGGAACCCAGGGCCAACCGCACCAGCAUAUGGUCUCACAAGGGGUCUGA